rnacentral:rRNA from 1 species
GACGAACGCUGGCGGCGUGCUUAACACAUGCAAGUCGAACGGAAAGGCCCUGCUUUUGUGGGGUGCUCGAGUGGCGAACGGGUGAGUAACACGUGAGUAACCUGCCCUUGACUUUGGGAUAACUUCAGGAAACUGGGGCUAAUACCGGAUAGGAGCUCCUGCUGCAUGGUGGGGGUUGGAAAGUUUCGGCGGUUGGGGAUGGACUCGCGGCUUAUCAGCUUGUUGGUGGGGUAGUGGCUUACCAAGGCUUUGACGGGUAGCCGGCCUGAGAGGGUGACCGGCCACCUUGGGCCUGAGAUACGGCCCAGACUCCUACGGGCGGCAGCAGUGGGGAAUAUUGCACAAUGGGCGGAAGCCUGAUGCAGCAACGCCGCGUGCGGGAUGACGGCCUUCGGGUUGUAAACCGCUUUCGCCUGUGACGAAGCGUGAGUGACGGUAAUGGGUAAAGAAGCACCGGCUAACUACGUG